CUCCCUUUUCGAAAAUCGUCGGUUCUAGUCUAGAGAGUAUGGAGAGAGAGAGAGCGAUUGGCGCUGUCGAUGGAGCUGCUGCUGAUCUAAUUCUUGAUGCCGGACAACGACGCCCGGCGGCGGCAGGCGAAGGACCCGCAGGUGGUGUCGACCACCUCCGCACCGCCAAGACCUCCAAUGUCCGCCAGCUCUCCGCCGUACUCCUCCGCAAGAAGACCCGGCCACUGGGCCAAGCUCUCUGUCAAGGUCGCCCUUCUCGAGAGCAUCACCCUCGACCCCAGAUAGAAUAGAUUGGGAUCAGCUCUAGUUUCUCCAGAUUGCUUUGAAUUCUGUGUCCUGUUGUUACCGUAAGGAUAAUGCAUUUGUUAAUAUUUAAUCAAUGAAUGUGAUGUUGCUUCAGUCCUUCAGUGAGCCAAAGUUCACAAGAAGACCACAGAGAAGUGAGUGCAUCUGAAGAUUUUUCAUUGUGCAAAUAAAGGUGGCUUUGAUCCUUUUCUGCCCUCUAACUGAAACAAUUGGCCCUAUAUCUCAAUCCCAUUUAGCAUAUUUGCAACCUAUUCUGCUUAAACGCUUACAAGAUGGGACAAGCAUUCAUGUCAGAGUUGCUGCUUUAAAGUGCGUAAUUUAUUUUGUUUACAUAUACAUGUACCAUCUGAUUCUUCUAAAGUGAUAUAGCAGGCAUGGAUAUUUCUCUUUU